rnacentral:rRNA from 1 species
GACAGAGGUCUCGAGCGUUAGGCGGAAUCACUGGGCUUAAAGCGUGUGUAGGCGGAUGUCUAAGUACCUUGUGAAAUCCCACAGCUUAACUGUGGAAUUGCUUGGUAUACUGGAUGUCUUGAGCCAGCUAGGGGCAACCGGAACAAAUGGUGGAGCGGUGAAAUGCGUAGAUAUCAUUUGGAACGCCAAUGGUGAAAACAGGUUGCUGGGGCUGUGCUGACGCUGAGACACGAAAGCCAGGGGAGCGAACGGG